UCGCCGCCGUAUGAACCAGAGGAGAGAGAGUGGGGCGAGGGCGCUGUGAGGGAAGGAGCAGGAGGCUCCUGGACAGCGGUCGCCAGGCUCUUCAGGAGUUCAGGGGGUCUUCAAGAGAGAGAGAGCUUUUGUGAGGGGAACUUCAUGUGAGAGAGAAUUGGGUGUACAAGGGUUGAGGGUGAGGUCUCCUCUUGUAAAUUUUUCUUUUCAUAGUGAAGUUUGCAUGCCCCAUGGAGGCGAGCCCUUUUGUGGCUGAUCCACGUAUUUUGAUUGUUUUUCCUUUGUUUUGUUCUUNNNNNNNNNNNNNNNNNNNNCGUUUCUCACGGUCCACGGCACUAUUCCGUGGACCGGAGCGCGAUCCGACGGCCCAGGAGGCUCCCGGUCUUGAUCCGACGGUCUGGAGGGUUUUUUGGCUUUGUUUAGGACUCCUAAUCCGUCUCUAAUCGUGUUUUAACCUAUGUUUAAGCCUUUAAAAGGCCCUGAGAACGAACAGAAGAGGGUGGGGUUCGGUUUCUCGUCGUCGUACGAACCAGAGGAGAGAGAGUGGGGCGAGGGCACUGUGAGGGAAGGAGCAGGAGGCUCCUGGACAGCGGUCGCCAGGCUCUUCAGAGGUUCAGGGGGUCUCCAAGAGAGAGAGAGCUUUUGUGAGGGGAACUUCAUGUGAGAGAGAAUUGGGUGUACAAUGGUUGAGGGUGAGGUCUCCUCUUGUAAAAUUUUCUUUUCAUAGUGAAGUUUGCAUGCCCCGUG
rnacentral:lncRNA from 1 species